AAGUCGUAACAAGGUUUCCGUAGGUGAACCUGCGGAAGGAUCAUUACCUUUCCAUGCAGAAGGAUUGUGUAGGGCUUGCCCUCGCAAUGCUUCCUGUAUACCACCCUUGUCUUUUUGCGCACUCAUGUUUCCUCGGCAGGCUUGCUUGCCGGUUGGACAAAACGUAUAACCCUUUUUUAAUUUUCAAUCAGCGUCUGAAAUAAUUUUAAUAAUUACAACUUUCAACAACGGAUCUCUUGGUUCUG
rnacentral:misc_RNA from 1 species